rnacentral:rRNA from 1 species
GACGAACGCUGGCGGCGUGCCUAAUACAUGCAAGUCGAACGAGAGCGACCGGUGCUUGCACUGGUCAAUCUAGUGGCGAACGGGUGAGUAACACGUGGGUAACCUGCCCAUCAGAGGGGGAUAACAUCCGGAAACGGAUGCUAAAACCGCAUAGGUCUUCGAACCGCAUGGUUUGAAGAGGAAAAGAGGCGCAAGCUUCUGCUGAUGGAUGGACCCGCGGUGCAUUAGCUAGUUGGUGAGGUAGCGGCCCACCAAGGCCGUGAUGCAUAGCCGACCUGAGAGGGUGAUCGGCCACAUUGGGACUGAGACACGGCCCAAACUCCUACGGGAGGCAGCAGUAGGGAAUCUUCCGCAAUGGACGCAAGUCUGACGGAGCAACGCCGCGUGAGUGAAGAAGGUUUUCGGAUCGUAAAACUCUGUUGUUAGAGAAGAACAAGUGCUAGAGUAACUGUUAGCGCCUUGACGGUAUCUAACCAGAAAGCCACGGCUAACUACGUG